UGGGGAAUAUUGGACAAUGGGCGCAAGCCUGAUCCAGCAAUGCCGCGUGAGUGAUGAAGGCCUUAGGGUUGUAAAGCUCUUUUACCCGGGAUGAUAAUGACAGUACCGGGAGAAUAAGCCCCGGCUAACUCCGUGCCAGCAGCCGCGGUAAUACGGAGGGGGCUAGCGUUGUUCGGAAUUACUGGGCGUAAAGCGCACGUAGGCGGCUUUGUAAGUUAGAGGUGAAAGCCCAGGGCUUAACCCUGGAAUUGCCUUUAAGACUGCAUCGCUAGAAUCGUGGAGAGGUGAGUGGAAUUCCGAGUGUAGAGGUGAAAUUCGUAGAUAUUCGGAAGAACACCAGUGGCGAAGGCGACUCACUGGACACGUAUUGACGCUGAGGUGCGAAAGCGUGGGGAGCAAACA
rnacentral:rRNA from 1 species